rnacentral:rRNA from 1 species
UACAGAGGUCCCGAGCGUUGUUCGGAUUCACUGGGCGUAAAGGGUGCGUAGGUGGCGCGCUAAGUCAGGUGUGAAAUUUCGGAGCUUAACUCCGAAACUGCAUUUGAUACUGGCGUGCUUGAGGACUGGAGAGGAGACUGGAAUUCAUGGUGUAGCAGUGAAAUGCGUAGAGAUCAUGAGGAAGACCAGUGGCGAAGGCGGGUCUCUGGACAGUUCCUGACACUGAGGCACGAAGGCCAGGGGAGCAAACGGG